rnacentral:rRNA from 1 species
CCCUUAGAUGUUCUGGGCCGCACGCGCGCUACACUGACGAAUGCAACGAGCUUAUAACCUUGGCCGAAAGGUCUGGGUAAUCUCCAAAUUUCGUCGUGAUGGGGAUAGAUUAUUGCAAUUAUUAAUCUUCAACGAGGAAUGCCUAGUAAGCGCAAGUCAUCAGCUUGCGUUGAUUACGUCCCUGCCCUUUGUACACACCGCCCGUCGCUCCUACCGAUUGAAUGGUCCGGUGAAGCGUUCGGACCGUGGCCUUUGGACGGUUCGCCGUCUGUUGGCUGCGGGAAGUUCGUUAAACCUUAUCAUUUAGAGGACGGAGAANUCGUANCA